GACGAACGCUGGCGGCGUGCUUAACACAUGCAAGUCGAACGGAAAGGCCCUGCUUUUGUGGGGUGCUCGAGUGGCGAACGGGUGAGUAACACGUGAGUAGCCUGCCCUUGACUUUGGGAUAACUUCAGGAAACUGGGGCUAAUACCGGAUAGGAGCUCCUGCUGCAUGGUGGGGGUUGGAAAGUUUCGGCGGUUGGGGAUGGACUCGCGGCUUAUCAGCUUGUUGGUGGGGUAGUGGCUUACCAAGGCUUUGACGGGUAGCCGGCCUGAGAGGGUGACCGGCCACAUUGGGACUGAGAUACGGCCCAGACUCCUACGGGAGGCAGCAGUGGGGAAUAUUGCACAAUGGGCGGAAGCCUGAUGCAGCAACGCCGCGUGCGGGAUGACGGCCUUCGGGUUGUAAACCGCUUUCGCCUGUGACGAAGCGUGAGUGACGGUAAUGGGUAAAGAAGCACCGGCUAACUAC
rnacentral:rRNA from 1 species